AGAAUCAACGCUGGCGGCGUGCCUCAGACAUGCAAGUCGAACGAUUAAAGCUCUCUUCGGAGAGUGUAUAGAGUGGCGCACGGGUGAGUAACACGUAAGUAAUCUACCCUCGAGUGGGGAAUAACGUCCGGAAACGGGCGCUAAUACCGCAUAAUGCAGCGGCACCGCAAGGUGACAGUUGUUAAAGAUUUAUCGCUUGAGGAGGAGCUUGCGGCAGAUUAGCUAGUUGGUAAGGUAAUGGCUUACCAAGGCUACGAUCUGUAACCGGUCUAAGAGGACGGUCGGUCACACUGACACUGAAUAACGGGUCAGACUCCUACGGGAGGCAGCAGUCGGGAAUUUGGGCAAUGGGCGAAAGCCUGACCCAGCAACGCGCGUGAAGGAUGAAGUUAUUCGGUAUGUAAACUUACGAAAAGAAGUGGGAAAGAAUACAAUAGGACGGUAACCAAUUUUAAUAAAGGUCCGGACUAACGUACGUCGCCAGCGAGCCCGGACGGUUAAUUACCGUGGAACGGCCGGGUCGU
rnacentral:rRNA from 1 species